ACGCCAUAUUGCUAGCUAACCUGCUAGCUGUGGGAGCUAACGUUAGCAUAGUUCAGGACAAAAAGGAAUAACUUACCAAGAAAUACCAAAGCACUCCCCAAUAACACUUCAGCACUUAGCUAACUACUGAGUUAACGUUAUACCAGGUGUAUUUGGAGCUUUUUUUCGUGACUGACACAAGCAGGCUGUGCCUUAUUGGAGUCACUGAACAUUAAUCUGCUGGCCCUUGAUCAUCCUCCACCCUCCGGCCCUCCUGACUCAUCUCCGCUGUGUCUCCCUGUGGCAUCCACGAGUGCAUAGGUGGACUUUGUGCCAUGACGUGAGCGUAAGCCAGUGGAGGAUUGCCUUCUUACAUCCAGGGAUGUGGAGCGAGACCUGGCAACAUGACACAGUCAGAGGGCAUCAGUACAGCCACAUGUGCCUCAACACAGGAAACACUUGGCUGUUUACAGGAAGGGUUUGAUGAAGGAAUGCGGUGCAUGUCUGGAUUUGGUCACUGAUGACGACUUUUCCUGAUUCCUGAGUUUUUAAUAACAUUCCACAGA